GACGAACGCUGGCGGCGUGCUUAACACAUGCAAGUCGAACGGAAAGACCCUGCUUUUGUGGGGUGCUCGAGUGGCGAACGGGUGAGUAACACGUGAGUAACCUGCCCUUGACUUUGGGAUAACUUCAGGAAACUGGGGCUAAUACCGGAUAGGAGCUCCUGCUGCAUGGUGGGGGUUGGAAAGUUUCGGCGGUUGGGGAUGGACUCGCGGCUUAUCAGCUUGUUGGUGGGGUAGUGGCUUACCAAGGCUUUGACGGGUAGCCGGCCUGAGAGGGUGACCGGCCACAUUGGGACUGAGAUACGGCCCAGACGCCUACGGGAGGCAGCAGUGGGGAAUAUUGCACAAUGGGCGGAAGCCUGAUGCAGCAACGCCGCGUGCGGGAUGACGGCCUUCGGGUUGUAAACCGCUUUCGCCUGUGACGAAGCGUGAGUGACGGUAAUGGGUAAAGAAGCACCGGCUAACUACGUG
rnacentral:rRNA from 1 species